rnacentral:rRNA from 1 species
CCUACGGGAGGCAGCAGUGAGGAAUAUUGGUCAAUGGACGAGAGUCUGAACCAGCCAAGUAGCGUGAAGGAUGACUGCCCUAUGGGUUGUAAACUUCUUUUAUAUGGGAAUAAAAUGUUCCACGUGUGGGAUUUUGUAUGUACCAUAUGAAUAAGGAUCGGCUAACUCCGUGCCAGCAGCCGCGGUAAUACGGAGGAUCCGAGCGUUAUCCGGAUUUAUUGGGUUUAAAGGGAGCGUAGGUGGAUGUUUAAGUCAGUUGUGAAAGUUUGCGGCUCAACCGUAACAGUGCAGUUGAAACUGGCAGUCUUGAGUACAGUAGAGGUGGGCGGAAUUCGUGGUGUAGCGGUGAAAUGCUUAGAUAUCACGAAGAACUCCGAUUGCGAAGGCAGUUCACUGGACUGCAACUGACACUGAGGCUCGAAAGUGUGGGUAUCAAACAGGAUUAGAUACCCCAGUAGUC